CCUACGGGUGGCAGCAGUGGGGAAUAUUGUGCAAUGGGCGAAAGCCUGACGCAGCGACGCCGCGUGAGGGAUGAAGGUCUUCGGAUCGUAAACCUCUGUCAGCAGGGAAGAACGGUCACUGUGCUAAUCAGCAGUGAAUUGACGGUACCUGCAAAGGAAGCACCGGCUGACUCCGUGCCAGCAGCCGCGGUAAUACGGAGGGUGCGAGCGGUAAUCGGAAUUACUGGGCGUAAAGCGCUCGUAGGCGGUAUGUCAAGUCAAGGGUGAAAUCCCCGCGCGCAACGUGGGAACUGCCUUUGAAACUGGCAGACUGGAGUGUGUGAGAGGAUAGUGGAAUUCCAGGUGUAGGAGUGAAAUCCGUAGAUAUCUGGAGGAACAUCAGUGGCGAAGGCGACUAUCUGGCACAUAACUGACGCUGAGGAGCGAAAGCGUGGGUAGCAAACAGGAUUAGAUACCCUGGUAGUC
rnacentral:rRNA from 1 species